GAAACGCGAUAGUUAAUGUGAAUUGCAGAAUUCAGUGAAUCAUCGAGUCUUUGAACGCACAUUGCGCCUUUUGGUAUUCCGAGAGGCACGUCUGUUCGAGCGUCAGUAAAACCCUUCCGGACCGGCGGUUUUGUUACCGCCCGGCCUGGGACCCUGGCGUGGGGAAGCGAAACCCUCUCACGGGUUUUUCCCCCGCUUAAACGCGGAGAAAGCUAGCGGGCACAGGCCUCACGUAUUGCGACAACUCGUAAAAUCUUUAUAGGUUGUUACCGCUAACAGUGGACCUUGCCCCGCCUCCUGAAACCUACGGGAACUCCGUUCCCCUGACUCUUGACCUCGGAUCAGAUGAGGAUACCCGCUGAACUUAA
rnacentral:misc_RNA from 1 species